rfam:Desulfotomaculum ferrireducens strain GSS09, complete genome.
GACCCAUUAGCUCAGUUGGUAGAGCACCUGACUUUUAAUCAGGGUGUCCCGCGUUCGAGUCGCGGAUGGGUCA